AAAGGUUUGGUCCUAGCCUUAUAGUUGAUUGGAGGCAGGAUUACACAUGCAAAUCUCCAUGAGCCAGUGUCAAAGCCUGCAGAGUUCAUGUUAACUCUAAGGGGAACGGCAUCAAGUACAUACCAUAGCUAAAGACGCCUUGCCCAGCCACGCCCCCACGGGACCGCAGCAGUGACAAAUAUUUAGCAAUGAACGAAAGUUUGACUAAGUCAUGCCUCUCUAAGGGUUGGUCAAUAUCGUGCCAGCCACCGCGGUUAAACGAUUGACCCAAGUUAACUAUUUCCCGGCGUAAAACGUGUUACUAGAUAUGCAAUAAAAUAGAAUUAAAGUCCAUCCAAUAUGUGAAAGUUAAUUGAUGGUCUCUAAAAUCAAUGACGAAAGUAAUUCUAGCGCACAUGAUACACGAUAGCUGAGACACAAACUGGGAUUAGAUACCCCACUAUGCUCAGCCCUAAACUUUAGUAUUUCCCAACGAAAAUACUUGCCUGAGAACUACUGGCAAUCGCUUAAAACUCAAAGGACUUGGCGGUACUUUAAACCUGCCUAGAGGAGCCUGUUCUGUAACCGAUGAACCCCGCUAUACCUCACCACCCCUUGCUAAUUCAGCCUGUAUACCGCCAUCUUCAGCUUACCCUUGAGGGAAUAAAAGUCGGCGCAAUCAUUCCACAUAAAAACGUUAGGUCGAGGUGCAGCCAAUGGAGUGGGUGUAAUGGGCUACAUUUUCUUACUAAGAACAUUACGAGACCCUUCAUGAAAAGGAAGGGCAAAGGAGGAUUUAGUAGUAAACUAAGAAUAGAGCGCUUAGUUGAAUACAGCUAUGAAGUAUGCACACACCGCCCGUCGCCCUCCUCAAUCUAAAUAGAAGAUACCUAUACAUAAUUACAUCUAGCUUUUACUAGAGGAGGUAAGUCGUAACAAGGUAAGCAUACUGGAAAGUGUGCUUGGACUACA
rnacentral:ncRNA from 1 species